ACCAGAUGUGGUGGUCCAUACCUGCAAUCCUAGCUACUGUAGAGGCUGAGGCUGCUAGGUCUCCUGAGAUUUAGUGAACUAUUCCUAUUGGGAGUCCUCAUUAAGUCUUGGCAUUAAUAUGAUGAGCCUCUGAGAGAUGGGGUUCAUGAGGUUGCCUAAGUAGGGUUGAAUCAACCCAUAUCAGAAAUGGAACUUGCCAAAGCUCCCAUGCUUACCAGGAUUGGGAUCAGACCUGUGAGUAACAUUUCCAGGCAGCUUUA
rnacentral:sRNA from 1 species